rnacentral:lncRNA from 1 species
ACUUGGCAUCAGCAAUAGUGUCUGGGUUUGGCGUCUGUCUGUGGGAUGGAUCCCCAGGUAGGGCAGUCUCUGGAUGGCCUUUCCUUUACUCUCUGUUCCACUCUUUGUCCCUGUAUUUCCUUUAUAUAGGAGCAAUUAUGGAAUAAAAUUGUGGAGAUGGGUGGGUGGCCCCAUCUUUCAACUGGGGGGAGGGUCAUGCCUAAUCUCUGGAUAUGGUCUCGACUGAUUCUCCUUCCCUUUCGUCGAGUAUUUCAGCUAAUGUACUUGAUGUACCCUUGGAGUCCUGAGGGGCUCUUGCUUUCCUGGCAUCUGGGACUUUCUGGUUGCUACCCCCAGUUCCCCAUCCCUCAUUGCUCUACACCUCUGUUAAAUUUUCUAAACUUCUGUACAAUCUUCCAUCUCCUUUGAUACCUGGUUCUGCCCCUCUUCUUUCCCCAACCCUCCUCUUCCUCCCAUGUCCCUCCUACCCUCUACUUCCUUUCAUUAUAUUGUUCCCCCUUCUAAGUAGGACUGAAGCAUCUACUCUUUGGUCUUCCUCCCUCAUGAGCUCCAUGUGAUUUGUGAGUUGUAUCAUGGGUAAUUUUUUUAGCUAAUAUUGUGGGAACUAAAAAAGGGCCUGGGGAAAGGGGGCAAGGGAGGAUAGCCCACGUACAGCCAGAGUUCCACCUGUGCUCUGGACAGGCAGACAUGGGAGGGCUGCCAGACACUUUCACUCAGCCCCGGGUGAGCAUCCAAGACUCUGACCUACUGGGGGGGUGGACAAGGGGCAGCACCCCCAAACCAAAAGGGGCCCCGGGGUACACCCUGUAGUCUGGGGUUAUGGGAGAGAGGGUUAAGGGAAGAGAGGUUCCCACGCAUGCGAGAGUGAGUGCAGCCUUGAUGAGCAGAGACUGUUUAUGAUUUUAGAGCUUUAUUAUAGAAAGGCAGGGGGAAAGAGAGAAGGUAAAAGAGAGAGAGAGUGGUUGGCCAUGGCCAAGAGGAGACAAAGGGGGAAAGGAGGGGGGUAGGCUAGAGAGAAAGAGAAUAAGAGGGAGAAAGUGAGAGGAGAGGAGAGGAGAGGAGAGGAGAGGAGAGGAGAGGAGAGGAGAGGAGAGGAGAGGAGAGGAGAGGAGUAAGAGCAAGAGAACAAAGGAGUGAGAGAGCAAGGAGGGGACAAACAGCCCCUAUCUUUUCUGUUGCUAGGUAACUGGGGAAGAGUUUAGCCUGAAGGUCAGAAGCUUGGGACAUUGCCUUCUUGACUAUUAGCCAUGCUUCUUUUGUGGGUGCUGAGGGGGGGCAGUAACUUAGACAGGAGCCAGAGUUCCAGGAGCAUGAGUGAACUCCUACUGUGUCAUGUAGAUGAAUUAUCACCAUUCCAGGCUUCAGACCUCAGCUCAACUAGAAAUCAGACUGUGUAUAGCCCAAUGCCCCACAUAAUAUCAUGGGUAAUAUUUUGCUCUUUGCCUAAUAUCCACUUAUCAGUGAGUACAUACCAUGUGUAUUAUUUUGUGUUUUCCUGUAAUUCUUUAAGGGAUUUUUGUGUUUCCUCUUUAGGGACUAAUGCCUAUUUACCUGUGUUCUCCUGCAUUUCUUUAAGGGAGUUAUUUAUGUCCUUCUUAAAGUCCUCUAUCAUCAUUAUGAGAUGUGAUAUUAAUCAGAGUCUUACUUUUCGGGUGUUUUGGAGUAUCCAGGCCUCACUGUGUUGGGAGAACUGGGUUCUGA